rnacentral:rRNA from 1 species
GGUUCCUGUCCAACGUUAAUCGGGGCAGGGUGAGUCGACCCCUAAGGCGAGGCCGAAAGGCGUAGUCGAUGGGAAACGGGUUAAUAUUCCCGUACUUGGUGUUACUGCGAAGGGGGGACGGAGAAGGCUAUGUUGGCCGGGCGACGGUUGUCCCGGUUUAAGCGGGUAGGUGUGUGUUCCAGGUAAAUCCGGUUCACUUUAACACUGAGGCGUGACGACGAGGCACUACGGUGCUGAAGCAACAAAUGCCCUGCUUCCAGGAAAAGCCUCUAAGCAUCAGGUAACACGAAAUCGUACCCCAAACCGACACAGGUGGUCAGGUAGAGAAUACCAAGGCGCUUGAGAGAACUCGGGUGAAGGAACUAGGCAAAAUGGUGCCGUAACUUCGGGAGAAGGCACGCUGACACGUAGGUGAAGUGAUUUACUCAUGGAGCUGAAGUCAGUCGAAGAUACCAGCUGGCUGCAACUGUUUAUUAAAAACACAGCACUGUGCAAACACGAAAGUGGACGUAUACGGUGUGACGCCUGCCCGGUGCCGGAAGGUUAAUUGAUGGGGUCAGCGCAAGCGAAGCUCCUGAUCGAAGCCCCGGUAAACGGCGGCCGUAACUAUAACGGUCCUAAGGUAGCGAAAUUCCUUGUCGGGUAAGUUCCGACCUGCACGAAUGGCGUAAUGAUGGCCAGGCUGUCUCCACCCGAGACUCAGUGAAAUUGAACUCGCUGUGAAGAUGCAGUGUACCCGCGGCAAGACGGAAAGACCCCGUGAACCUUUACUAUAGCUUGACACUGAACAUUGAGCCUUGAUGUGUAGGAUAGGUGGGAGGCUUUGAAGUGUGGACGCCAGUCUGCAUGGAGCCGACCUUGAAAUACCACCCUUUAAUGUUUGAUGUUCUAACGUGGACCCGUAAUCCGGGUUGCGGACAGUGUCUGGUGGGUAGUUUGACUGGGGCGGUCUCCUCCUAAAGAGUAACGGAGGAGCACGAAGGUUGGCUAAUCCUGGUCGGACAUCAGGAGGUUAGUGCAAUGGCAUAAGCCAGCUUGACUGCGAGCGUGACGGCGCGAGCAGGUGCGAAAGCAGGUCAUAGUGAUCCGGUGGUUCUGAAUGGAAGGGCCAUCGCUCAACGGAUAAAAGGUACUCCGGGGAUAACAGGCUGAUACCGCCCAAGAGUUCAUAUCGACGGCGGUGUUUGGCACCUCGAUGUCGGCUCAUCACAUCCUGGGGCUGAAGUAGGUCCCAAGGGUAUGGCUGUUCGCCAUUUAAAGUGGUACGCGAGCUGGGUUUAGAACGUCGUGAGACAGUUCGGUCCCUAUCUGCCGUGGGCGCUGGAGAACUGAGGGGGGCUGCUCCUAGUACGAGAGGACCGGAGUGGACGCAUCACUGGUGUUCGGGUUGUCAUGCCAAUGGCACUGCCCGGUAGCUAAAUGCGGAAGAGAUAAGUGCUGAAAGCAUCUAAGCACGAAACUUGCCCCGAGAUGAGUUCU